rnacentral:rRNA from 1 species
CAGCACCUCAAGUGGUCAGGAUGAUUAUUGGGCCUAAAGCAUCCGUAGCCGGCGCUGUAAGUUUUCGGUUAAAUCUGUACGCUCAACGUACAGGCUGCCGGGAAUACUGCAGCGCUAGGGAGUGGGAGAGGUAGACGGUACUCAGUAGGAAGGGGUAAAAUCCUUUGAUCUAUUGAUGACCACCUGUGGCGAAGGCGGUCUACCAGAACACGUCCGACGGUGAGGGAUGAAAGCUGGGGGAGCAAACCGGAUUAGAGACCCGCGUAGUCC